rnacentral:tRNA from 1 species
GGGGUUAUGGCUCAGUGGUAGAGCGCUUGCCUUGUAUGUGUGAGACCCUGGGUUCGAUCCUCAGGACCACA